GACAGAGGGGGCAAGCGUUGCUCGGAAUUACUGGGCGUAAAGGGCGCGUAGGCGGGAUGGCAAGUCGGUCGUGAAAUCCUUCGGCUCAACCGAAGAACGUCGAUCGAUACUGCUGUUCUUGAGGGUUGCAGAGGAGACUGGAAUUCCCGGUGUAGCGGUGAAAUGUGUAGAGAUCGGGAGGAACACCGGUGGCGAAGGCGGGUCUCUGGGCCGUAACUGACGCUGAGGAGCGAAAGCGUGGGGAGCGAACAGG
rnacentral:rRNA from 1 species